rnacentral:rRNA from 1 species
GACGAACGCUGGCGGCGUGCCUAACACAUGCAAGUCGAGCGAGUGAAUCUCCUUCGGGAGUGAAACUAGCGGCGGACGGGUGAGUAACACGUGGGCAACCUGCCUCAUAGAGGGGAAUAGCCUUUCGAAAGGAAGAUUAAUACCGCAUAAGAUUGUAGCUUCGCAUGAAGUAGCAAUUAAAGGAGUAAUCCGCUAUGAGAUGGGCCCGCGGCGCAUUAGCUAGUUGGUGGGGUAACGGCUCACCAAGGCGACGAUGCGUAGCCGACCUGAGAGGGUGAUCGGCCACAUUGGGGCUGAGACACGGCCCAGACUCCUACGGGAGGCAGCAGUGGGGAAUAUUGCACAAUGGGGGAAACCCUGAUGCAGCAACGCCGCGUGAGUGAUGACGGCCUUCGGGUUGUAAAGCUCUGUCUUCAGGGAUGAUAAUGACGGUACCUGAGGAGGAAGCCACGGCUAACUACGUGCCAGCAGCCGCAGUAA